GGGCCUAUACAUGCAAGUCGAACGAACUCUGGGUAUUGAUUGGUGCUUGCAUCAUGAUUUACAUUUGAGUGAGUGGCGAACUGGUGAGUAACACGUGGGAAACCUGCCCAGAAGCGGGGGAUAACACCUGGAAACAGAUGCUAAUACCGCAUAACAACUUGGACCGCAUGGUCCGAGUUUGAAAGAUGGCUUCGGCUAUCACUUUUGGAUGGUCCCGCGGCGUAUUAGCUAGAUGGUGGGGUAACGGCUCACCAUGGCAAUGAUACGUAGCCGACCUGAGAGGGUAAUCGGCCACAUUGGGACUGAGACACGGCCCAAACUCCUACGGGAGGCAGCAGUAGGGAAUCUUCCACAAUGGACGAAAGUCUGAUGGAGCAACGCCGCGUGAGUGAAGAAGGGUUUCGGCUCGUAAAACUCUGUUGUUAAAGAAGAACAUAUCUGAGAGUAACUGUUCAGGUAUUGACGGUAUUUAACCAGAAAGCCACGGCUAACUACGUGCCAGCAGCCGCGGUAAUACGUAGGUGGCAAGCGUUGUCCGGAUUUAUUGGGCGUAAAGCGAGCGCAGGCGGUUUUUUAAGUCUGAUGUGAAAGCCUUCGGCUCAACCGAAGAAGUGCAUCGGAAACUGGGAAACUUGAGUGCAGAAGAGGACAGUGGAACUCCAUGUGUAGCGGUGAAAUGCGUAGAUAUAUGGAAGAACACCAGUGGCGAAGGCGGCUGUCUGGUCUGUAACUGACGCUGAGGCUCGAAAGUAUGGGUAGCAAACAGGAUUAGAUACCCUGGUAGUCCAUACCGUAAACGAUGAAUGCUAAGUGUUGGAGGGUUUCCGCCCUUCAGUGCUGCAGCUAACGCAUUAAGCAUUCCGCCUGGGGAGUACGGCCGCAAGGCUGAAACUCAAAGGAAUUGACGGGGGCCCGCACAAGCGGUGGAGCAUGGUGGUUUAAUUCGAAGCUACGCGAAGAACCUUACCAGGUCUUGACAUACUAUGCAAUCUAGAAAAUAGACGUUCCCUUCGGGGACUGGAAACAGGUGGUGCAUGGUUGUCGUCAGCUCGGGCCGGGAA
rnacentral:rRNA from 1 species